rnacentral:lncRNA from 1 species
UUUUUUUGCAUUCAAGGGCAUGUUUGUUUCAACAUAAGUAGACUUGGGGUAGAAGUGGACUUUGAGUUGAAGUGGAGUUGGGAUGAAAAUUAGUUCACUUCUGCUGUUUGUUUUUAACUGUGGAAGUGCAAUUCUGUGAGUUCUGUUGUUUGUUUGGUAGGAAGUAGAUGACGUAAAAAGUGUAGCUCUCUACCCCCGGUAUACUUACCUCCAAAGUGAUAUAAUUGUCUAUUUGUAACUUAUAGUGAAUAAUAAAUUAUAAUAAAUAAAAAUUAAUAUAAUUAUAUAUGUAUAUAAUUAUAUAUAUGUAUAAUUAUAAAAUAAAAUUUUAAAAAAUUAUAUUAUUUGUUUGCAUAUAAAUUAUAAUAAUGUAACAAAUAAAAUUCUAAAGUUAAAAAAUUAUUAACAUUUAACAUAGCCAUCCAGUAGUCAUCAACAAUAGUUAAUUGUGAAAUACACACCAUUUGUAGGGAUGUCAACAUGUUGAAUUUAGGGUAAGUUUUCAAAUAUCCGAAUCUGAAUUCAACUAUCGAAUUCGAAAUCUAACUAAAUUUACAUCCGUAUUCAAAACUAUAUCUGUUUAGUAUCGAGUAAAUUCGCUUCGUUCGGAUUCGAGUUCGAAUAAGAUUUUGAAUAUUCGUACCCACUGACAUCCCUAGUUUGGGUGGGCCCCACUGAACCUACCAAAUCCACUA